GAAACCCAUGAUUUUGACAUGCCAGUACAGACAAUGGAAAAGCUGGACGACAAGAAUCCUGCGCUUUCCGAGUGCUCCGUAGAGCACACGUACCUGUUAGCAUGCCGGUUGCCAAGAGCACCACCUCGUGCUCAGAACGCAAAAAGCACUUACUGUGACGAUCAACACCGGUAAGGUACAGCGGAAGAGUUUGGCAUUAUUCACGUGAAGAUUCUGUCUCGGCUAUUUCCUGUAAUGCUAAUAUGCAACGAAGUUACUCGGCUCAUGAUGAAAAAAUGAUUUUGCAUCUUGCAUGCAAGUCAAUAAAUAUAGCCAAGUAUUUUAAAGGACCAAUUUGUGUCACACAUCAUUUACAUGUAUUUUGCACAGCAAGGUAAGACAUUAAUAUACCAGUGCUUAUUUUCUGCCAAAAUUAGUGUUUGUGAAUAGAGCACUAUUCCUUGUCUCAUUGAAGAGAUAACUAGGAAAGAAAUCAAAUCAUGACCAGUUCAGAAAAAGGCCUGGGGAAUUUUUCAAAGUACAUAUCUCAGUUUCUCUUUUCUUCACCGUGCCCAAAUACUACACUAAAUGGAUGCUAAGGUCAUGGAGCAGAUUCUCCUGGAGACUCUGCUAAGGCAGAGGGAAAUAAAGAACAAAGACAUCUUCCAAUAGAGUAAUACCAUUUCUGAUUGCAUAUGAGCAGAAUACAGAAAUGGAUAUUUUUAUGGUCCGGGUAUGUUAUACAGCCAGGGGCCAUUAUAUUAAGUUUAUAAAUUAUGUUAAGCUCUUACUUGUCAUUCUAACAUAUUUGAACAAAGAAGGUUGCAUGAUGUUGGUGAGAAGUUUAGGCAAGAAACUUCAAUCCAGGAGAUCUUGGUGGUGUUCUCAGCUUCUUCAUUGUACAAAUUGCUCUGUUUCUCUGUGAACCAAUUUUCCUGUUUCUAAGUUGGGACAAUUUGCAAGAACUUAGAAGAAUCUGUUCACAUUGUGAAAUUCGGUCUGAAAAGACUGACAAAGGUUUACAGGGUGCUAGUGCUUUUCUGGUUUAUGUUGUACUAUUGCCUGAUAGAGAAUUUCUUCAUCUUUCAAUUUGAGAAUCUCUGCAAGUGAUGCCUUAAAAAUUAUAGGAAUGAUGUAUUUUUCUCUUAUUACUGUGCUAUUUCCUCCUUUCCAUACACAGGACCCAAAAACUUAAGUGAUGGUAUCUUUCCAUCAGCACAAUUAUUUUGAUUUGAAUGAAAUUUUAGAUUCAGCUGGAAACACAAUCUGCUUCUGCAAGCUUCCCACAGAUUCAGCUACACCUCCUUUGAUUAAGCUACAGCACCUUUUCCUCUUAAAGUUUUUCAUCUUCCAAACACAGGAAAAAAUAUUCUUUCUUGACUAUUACAGGUGACCAUGGAGUAGUUGUAUUUGACUGGAUAAAGGAAAUACACAUUUGAAAUCAUAUACAUUUAAUAUUUACUGCUUUCUUUCUCCAACAUAUGUGCACUGUUUGCUUUCUACUGACUUUAAACUCAUUACCAGCUUGUGUGUUGUUUAUUCCUACUUCUUUAGUAAUUUAUAUAAUAUCUGUGUAGUCAUUAUACUAGUAUCUCAGCUAUUGAUACUUAAUGUGUUAUUUCUCUUCAGAAAAAUUAGUGCUUGAUGUUUACAAUCAAAGAGAUCACGAACUGUAUCAGAAUCCAAAAUUUCCAGUGAUUGUAUUUCCACACGCCAGUUUUUUGCCACAUGGAAUGUUUUUCCAUCCAUACAACCAUUUCCUCUGUUUAUGGAAAUGAGGUAAAACUAGAUUUAGAAAACUGACAUGGAAAAGACAGUAGUGAUUCUAGGGAGCUUCCUAAUCACAAGAGUUCUUGACAGUAAAACUGCAGACCCCACCAUGCCUGACAAGGUGCCUUUCGACUGGAGCUUUGCAUCCAAGCAAUGGUUCUUGCAUGACUUUGGUACUAUCAGUGGAAAAAAUGGGACCUGAAGUUAGAGGAGUGCAGUUAUUUGAUGUAACACUAAAAUAAUAGAGCAAAGAACAGCAUCAAAUUCGUGGAUCUGAGCACAACUCCUGCCUUCAGAUUCAGAUCAUUACUUCAAUAUACAGGUAAACUACAGAUGUGUAUUUGAAGAGAGAAUUGUUAUUCCACUUGAUGAAAACAUUUAUAAUUCAGGUCCCAGAAAACUAAGAUCAACAAAUUAUCAUAAGGAUUCAAAAAUUUAUGUUGAUGAUGCUGUGACCUUUUCUGGAAAAAAAACCUUACCUGGAUCUUAGAAAUUGUAUUAUUAGUGGGCAUUAUCUUUGCAGCAUCUCUGAGACAAAAUUAUGAUGGCAUCAUAAAGAACAAAAAAACAUAAGUUCAGGGGGAACAACAAAGGCUCACCAUUACAAACUUCAAAUACAGCUAUGGCUACUUCUGCCUAGAUGUAGGAGCAGUAUUUCCAAAUUACAUACAAGAAGAUACCCAAAGAGUAUGUUAUUUCUUUUCCUGUUUGUGUUUCUUGAACCUCUUACAGAUUCUUUAUGUUAAAAUUAGCUCCUGAUUUGGUAAUAUAUUUCUAAUCUUCUGAGAAUUUUUACAUAUGUAAAAAAAUUUUACAUAUGUAUAUUUUCCAUUAAAAUUUGAGUUAUCAUUUCCAAAUUGGUUUUGCAAUAUCCAAAAAGUACAUGACUACAAAAUAUUUUAUAUCGCUGAUUUCAGAGAAGGUAACUAAUUCUCACCAUCCUGUUUUAGUCAGUAUUAAACACAAAUAAACAGGUAGAACCAAGAUAUAUUCUGAGAGAUUUAAGACUCUCUCAUAAUUAUUUUCUUAGUUUCUCUCACCUAGGAGAACUGUAAACCUCAUAAAUAAAUACUGAAUGUUAAUUAGUUUAGACAAUUGUUCAGGGUACACUUAUUUAUGAAAUGGUGUACACUUACACCUUUAGUAGCAAUGUCCAAGUGUGCUCUUAGCCGUGU